rnacentral:rRNA from 1 species
ACGUCGUGAGACAGUUCGGUCCCUAUCCGCUGUGCGCGUAGGAGUCUUGAGAAGGGCUGUCCCUAGUACGAGAGGACCGGGACGGACGAACCUCUGGUGUGCCAGUUGUUCUGCCAAGGGCAUGGCUGGUUGGCUACGUUCGGGAGGGAUAACCGCUGAAAGCAUCUAAGCGGGAAGCCUGCUUCGAGAUGAGGACUCCCACCCACUUGAUGGGGUAAGGCUCCCAGUAGACGACUGGGUUGAUAGGCCAGGUGUGGAAGACCGGUAACGGUUGGAGCUGACUGGUACUAAUAGGCCGAGGGCUUGUCCUCAGUUG